rnacentral:rRNA from 1 species
GAUGAACGCUGGCGGCGUGCCUAAUACAUGCAAGUCGAGCGAACAUGCGAGGAGCUUGCUCCUCUUACCUUAGCGGCGGACGGGUGAGUAACACGUGGAUAACCUACCUAUAAGUCUGGGAUAACUUCUGGAAACCAGAGCUAAUACCGCAUAAUAUAUUGAACCGGCUUCUUCAAUAGUGAAAGACAGUUAUUCUGUCCCUUAUGGAUUGACCCGCGCCUUAUGAGCUAGUUGGUAAGGUGACGGCUUACCCAGGCAAUGGUGGUUAGCCGACCUGAGUGGGUGGUGGGGCACACGGGAAGUGAGGCUCGGUGGACACACCGAGGGGGGGAAGCAGCAGGGACUCUUACGGGAUGGGGGAGAGGCUGAUGUUGCACAGCGGCGGGAGCGCUGAAGCAGCGACGCUGCGUGGAGUAUGAUAUUAGGCAGGAACAAAUGUGUAAGUGAUUGUGACCGUAUUGACGGUACCUAAUAAGAAAGCCACGGCUAACUACGUG